UACGUAGGGUGCAAGCGUUGUCCGGAAUUAUUGGGCGUAAAGAGCUCGUAGGCGGUUUGUCGCGUCUGCUGUGAAAACUCGGGGCUUAACUCCGGGCCUGCAGUGGGUACGGGCAGACUAGAGUGCGGUAGGGGAGACUGGAAUUCCUGGUGUAGCGGUGAAAUGCGCAGAUAUCAGGAAGAACACCCGUGGCUAAGGCGGCUCUCUAGUACGGUACUGACGCUGAGAAGCGAAAGCAUGGGGAGCGAACAGG
rnacentral:rRNA from 1 species